AAUUGCAAUACACUCCAUGUGACAAUUACCCUGAUCACUUGCUGAAAUUACUAAUUCCAUAGUUUAGAAAAGCUUUUUAUAUAGAAGUAUACAGGAAAAAAAGCUGAAAUCAUAUGCUUUUGUUUACGGGAAUUAAUCCCUCUGAACUCAGUGUGACUUAUUUCUGAAUAAACACCCGUAGGAUUGGGCUAUAUAAGAAUCUAAUUUUGUUCCCCCAACGUAGUCUAAUGGUAGGUCUUACGGUAACGUAACCUUAACUUGUGUGCUGAUACUGCAAAACUUUGCAUAUGCUAAUAGUACUAUCACUAAGACUUUUAAUUAUGGGAUUUUAAUAAGCCAAUCACCCUACAUCUUACCCCAAGGCUGAAUAUGGUUCUCAUUACCUGUUUCCAUAUUCAGCACAGCACAGUAGCCUGAAUGAAGUUUAUAUGCCUAUGAACCCCAGAAAAGGCUUAUUCCCUCCAUAAGGUACCUUCUCCACAAAUCUGGUUCAUUUCUCUCCCUGCUAUGCACAGGUUUUUCAGUUGAUAUUGCCCCCCUGAAGAUUCAAUAGACUGAAGCACUACUUUCCAUCUGCCUUGUGUUCUUGUGUUCUUUAUCCCAAGCCUCAUAUAGUACACUUAGAUCUGUUUCACAUUGGUUAUAAUUUGUUCAUUGCCAACCUUUACAGGGAUCCAUAGGGCUAGUUCCAGAUCCAUAAACAGAGUGAGAGCUUAAGAGUACAUCACAAGACAAUAAUAAAAAUAGAUAAACAGGUGUUUUAUUUGCUUCGUGUUUUUAUUGUGGCCAAUUUAUUUAGCAUAGCUGUUACAUCAAAAAAAGACAUCAUCUGGGCGUAUUCAUUGAUCCAAGGGUAAUAUGUUAACUUCAACCCUAGAACAUUAAAGGAAGUGUUUUCCAGUUAUUUUGAAAACUGGGAUUUCCGCAGGGUGUUGAGUGUGUUGUGAGAAUAGGGAUCAAAAGUCAAUUGCCUGCCCAGUCCCAAACUAGGAUUGUAGGCAGAGUUGUCUGAGGAUAAACAUGUAAUGGUAUCAGCAUUUUAGUUCUCUAGCAUAGCAUUCAUGGGGUUCAGUUAUUUGCCAUAAAAUUUUUAGAAAAGAUAAGUGCGGUAUGAUUGUCUUGAAGAUUUGGGAAAUUUAAAAAAACCAUUUCGCAGCUAAUGAAAAAUGGAGCCCUUCUGUAUUCCAAAGGAAAGUGAAAAAAGCCCAUCGGACCAUUUUCAUGAAACAGAUCAGUGGCACCGAAACAGACAGAUUCAAAAGUAUAUCAGAUGGGGGAGAAUGUUGACUUUGCCCCAACUCCUAUUCAAUGCAGCAGUCAUCUACGCAUGCACAAUGGAUGCCUAAAAUGUAAACACCUUGCCUUAACUAUGGCUUAUGGCUUCAAAUGGUUUGGAAGCUGUUUUGAGGAAAAGCACAUAAUAAAGAAACUACAGAGUAAAGAUGAAUUGUGGCUAACUUCUUGUGUACUGAGGUUCAAACACCAGCAGUAGGAGAGCACUGGAGUCUGAGUAAAUACACAGCCUACCUUGCAAGCAGAAACAAGCUAAGUACAUUAGGAUGCCAUUUAUUUUGCAAUGACAUGGUGUUUGAACUCAGAUACGUGAUGAAACAGAUACAGGCAAAAGGGCAUUGUUGGGUACUUAGAAGAUGCGGAGGCAUAAAAUUUGCAUAUGCUCAUUAAUAUGUAUAGGUGCAAAUUUAGGCCAACUUUCAGAGGGGAGAAAACAAACUGGCUCUUGCUCUCAGGGCAUACUCUCUAAGCUGUUGGGACUUAUUAUCAUGUAAGUGUAUAGGAGUGCAGCCCUGUGGCACCAUCCUGUGCAUGUUUAUGCAGUAUUAAAUCCUGAGCUCAGUGGGAUUUACUCCCUAGUCAUUAUAUUUAGGGUUGAAUUGCAACUUAAGUCCUGCUUUUUUUUACAAGUUCUCUGAUAAAAUUCUUAACGUAUAUACCAACCCAACUGAAAUAUUUAGUAUUAAAUGAAGAGGAUGUAUAAGAUACUGUGUUAGUUAAGCAAAAUGAAUAACGUAUGCAACCUUUUCCCAUUGUAUUAAUCUGGAGCUCUAAAAUUGGAAACUUCAUUUUUUCUGUCUUCCUUUGUAUACAGAGAGACUUGCAAAUGAGUUUCAACAAUAAUCAUGUGGCAUAUCACAGUUUACUUGAUGCAGUUGGGUCUCUGUGCGAUUCUCAUCACUAAUGAAGACACCAGAGAUUAACUGCUAAGGGAUUCAGUUAUCAAGAACAUGUUUUUAUUAUCAAAUGUGAAGACUUCUGAAUGCACGGAGGAAUCAAUAUACUUUGAAAUAAAGCCUGAUUAUUAAAUAAAGAGUAUAAAAACAAAUUUAAGGUGCAGAUGAGCACUGCUUCAUUUAGCUAUACUGUAUACACGUUCAUUUGAUAUAUUCCAUUUUUAUAUAUCUGUUAUAUAUCUGCUCCUAAGAUGGAGCGGAUGUCACAAGGGACCCUGCAUGAGUUUGAUGGGCUCUGGACCAAUGGCCCCUCCAUUGCCUGCUCCCUCAGGUUCACAGCAUAGUGAGGGGGCAGACCUCUCAGUGUAUAAGGGUGUAUGAGGCAGCCAUUUUGGAGAGAGAAAUGAGGGAGAGAUCGGGAUGUUGAGGGUGAAAUGUGGAGGAUGCGGUUCAUUUAUGCAGGGCAGGGCUUACUUGCCCUCCCCCAAUGUUGUAUUCAAGUUGGCACCCUGGGUGGGUGGAACAGAGGGAGAGCACAACCCUUGAACCACCUUGUAAGUUGUUUUGAAUAUAUUCUCAAUGGUUUUAAAUAUAUAUUUACAAUAUGUGUUCCUGGGUAGAUUUUUAAAGGUAUUCCUCUUUAAAAUCAACCUGGAAAUAGGAUGCGACAGACUUAGGCCCAUCCUCUCUGAGAAUAAGGACAGUCUGAACUUCAGUGGGUGCCUAUGAUUGGACAUUGGGUUUGGGGCGAUUACAGAUGGCCCAAAUAUAUUGUGUGUCUGAUGAAGUGGGCUCUAGUCUGCAAAAGCUAAUGCCACCAUAAAUCUGUCUUGAAGAUGUCCUAAUACUUUUUGUUGGUUUUGUUGCAACAGCCUAACAUGGCUACCCUUCUGGAAUUUUCCCAUUGCAUGCUGAUUAUUAUAGCUGAACAUUUUCUAUGGUAGGAAAUUCCCCCGUUAUUUAUGUAUUUGUGCCUUUAUUUAUGCCAAUCAGAAGUGCCAGUUGACAUUUCACAUGCCGAGAGACUCAUCCUUAUCUUCUAAAUUUCCAUUUUGGUCUGCAUGCACACUUUCAUGAGAGAGCUAUUUUAAUCACAGCCCUCAAUUCACCUUCACUUCAACUUUUGAGCACAAGUUACCAAGACUGCCACACUGUGGUUUAUGGAGCAACGAGUCUGCAAACGUGUCUGAAGCAAAGCAAAGCAUUGCCAAAAGUGAUGCUAAUUCAUCACUGACUGCUGCCACUUCAACAAAAUGUUUACUCCUUGUCUACACUCUUGGCUCUUUGCUGACUCCUUGAUUUUCAGACAGACAGGGAUAUUUCUCUGAAGUGGCAACAGAUUUCAUUAUUAUUAAGGGAUGAUUUUUACAUAUCACUGAGAAACUUGAUUUCCUUACAGGAUAAUUGCAGCUUGCAAUUCAAUUUCUUUCUCUCUGAACUACUAAUUUCUCCUUAUUCUGUAUCUAUGAACAAACCAGUUCCUGUAAUUUACUUGAAUUGCAAACAAGGUUUGCAGAUGUUUUAAAUAUGUCUUGCCUAUCAUAUCAUCAUUUUCCUUUAUGUUUUAAAUAUAAAUUUAGUGACAGUU